CCUACGGGUGGCAGCAGUGGGGAAUAUUGGACAAUGGGCGAAAGCCUGAUCCAGCCAUGCCGCGUGUGUGAAGAAGGCCUUCGGGUUGUAAAGCACUUUCAGUGGGGAAGAAAGCCUUGGGGCUAAUACCCUCGAGGAAGGACAUCACCCACAGAAGAAGCACCGGCUAACUCCGUGCCAGCAGCCGCGGUAAUACGGAGGGUGCGAGCGUUAAUCGGAAUUACUGGGCGUAAAGCGCGCGUAGGCGGUCUGAUAAGCCGGUUGUGAAAGCCCCGGGCGCAACCUGGGAACGGCAUCCGGAACUGUCAGGCUAGAGUGCAGGAGAGGAAGGUAGAAUUCCCGGUGUAGCGGUGAAAUGCGUAGAGAUCGGGAGGAAUACCAGUGGCGAAGGCGGCCUUCUGGACUGACACUGACGCUGAGGUGCGAAAGCGUGGGUAGCAAACAGGAUUAGAUACCCUGGUAGUC
rnacentral:rRNA from 1 species